GAUGAACGCUGGCGGCGUGCCUAAUACAUGCAAGUCGAGCGAACGGACGAGAAUCUUGCUUCUCUGAUGUUAGCGGCGGACGGGUGAGUAACACGUGGAUAACCUACCUAUAAGACUGGGAUAACUUCGGGAAACCGGAGCUAAUACCGGAUAAUAUUUUGAACCGCAUGGUUCAAAAGUGAAAGACGGUCUUGCUGUCACUUAUAGAUGGAUCCGCGCUGCAUUAGAUAGUUGGUAAGUUAACGGCUUACCAAGGCAACGAUGCAUAGCCGACCUGAGAGGGUGAUAGCCGACCUGGGAGCUGAGACAGGGUCCAUACGCCUACGAGAGGCAGCAGAAGGGAAUCUUCGGCAAUGGGCGAAAGCCUGACGGAGUAACGCCGCGUGAGUGAUGAAGGUCUUCGGAGCGUAAAACUCUGUUAUUAGGGAAGAACAGAUGUGUAAGUAACUGUGCACAUCUUGACGGUACCUAAUCAGAAAGCCACGGCUAACUACGUG
rnacentral:rRNA from 1 species